CGGUAACGACACUAGCUUGCUAGUGGUCGACGAGUGGCGGACGGGUGAGUAACGCGUAGGAAUCUACCUAGUAGUGGGGGAUAGCCAAGGGAAACUUUGGGUAAUACCGCAUACGAUCUAAGGAUGAAAGGGGGCCUCUCUUUGAAGCUCUCGCUAUUAGAUGAGCCUGCGUAAGAUUAGCUUGUUGGUGGGGUAAUGGCCCACCAAGGCGACGAUCUUUAGCUGGUCUGAGAGGAUGAUCAGUCACACUGGAACUGAGACACGGUCCAGACUCCUACGGGAGGCAGCAGUCGGGAAUAUUGGACAAUGGGGGAAACCCUGAUCCAGCCAUGCCGCGUGUGUGAAGAAGGCCCUAGGGUUGUAAAGCACUUUUAGUAGUGAGGAAGGCUCAGUAGUUAAUACCUACUGGGAUUGACGUUAGCUACAGAGAAAGCACCGGCUAAUUUCGUGCCAGCAGCCGCGGUAAUACGAAAGGUGCAAGCGUUAAUCGGAAUUACUGGGCGUAAAGCGCGCGUAGGCGGCUUGGUAAGUUGGAUGUGAAAGCCCCGGGCUCAACCUGGGAACUGCAUCCAAAACUGCCUAGCUAGAGUAUGGUAGAGGAUGGCGGAAU
rnacentral:rRNA from 1 species